GACCGCGUAGUUCAGUUGGCAGAGCGUUGGGCUAGUAUUCCAAAGGUCGUAGGUUCGAUUCCCACCGUGGCCA
rnacentral:tRNA from 1 species